UCCUUGUUAUGCAAGGCAGUCUCCUUAGAAAAGUUCAACUAAGGACAAGGGUUGCGCUCGUUUACGGACUUAACCGAACACCUCAAGGCACGAGCUGACGGCAACCAUGCAGCGCCUGUCUCUCCGUUCCUUACGGCACUGCUCCCUUUCGGGUGCAUUCGGAGGAUGUCAAGCCCUGGUAAGGUUCCUCGCUUAUUGUCGAAUUAAACCACACGCUCCACCGCUUGUGUGGGUCCCCGUCUAUUCCUUUGAGUUUUAGUCUUGCGACCGUACUACUCAGGCGGAUCACUUAUCGCGUUUGCUUAGACACCGGGAGGGUCGAACUCCCGACAUCGAGUGAUCAUCGUUUACGGCAUGGACUA
rnacentral:misc_RNA from 1 species